GAACGUCGUGAGACAGUUCGGUCCCUAUCUGCCGUGGGCGUUGGAGAAUUGAAAGGGGCUGCUCCUAGUACGAGAGGACCGGAGUGGACGAACCUCUGGUGUUCGGGUUGUGUCGCCAGACGCAUUGCCCGGUAGCUAAGUUCGGGAUCGAUAACCGCUGAAAGCAUCUAAGCGGGAAGCGAGCCUUGAGAUGAGUUCUCCCUGAUACUUAAAGUAUCCUAAAGGGUUGUCGUAGACUACGACGUUGAUAGGCAGGGUGUGUAAGCGUUGUGAGGCGUUGAGCUAACCUGUACUAAUUGCCCGUGAGGCUUAACCAUACAACACCCAAGGGGUUU
rnacentral:rRNA from 1 species